AGAGUUUGAUCAUGGCUCAGAUUGAACGCUGGCGGCAUGCCUUACACAUGCAAGUCGAACGGUAACAGGUUAAGCUGACGAGUGGCGAACGGGUGAGUAAUAUAUCGGAACGUGCCCGGUCGUGGGGGAUAACGUAGCGAAAGCUACGCUAAUACCGCAUACGAUCUAUGGAUGAAAGCGGGGGAUCGCAAGACCUCGCGCGAUUGGAGCGGCCGAUAUCAGAUUAGCUAGUUGGUGGGGUAAAAGCUCACCAAGGCGACGAUCUGUAGCUGGUCUGAGAGGACGACCAGCCACACUGGAACUGAGACACGGUCCAGACUCCUACGGGAGGCAGCAGUGGGGAAUUUUGGACAAUGGGCGCAAGCCUGAUCCAGCAAUGCCGCGUGCAGGAUGAAGGCCUUCGGGUUGUAAACUGCUUUUGUACGGAACGAAACGGCGAGCUCUAAUACAGUUUGCUAAUGACGGUACCGUAAGAAUAAGCACCGGCUAACUACGUGCCAGCAGCCGCGGUAAUACGUAGGGUGCGAGCGUUAAUCGGAAUUACUGGGCGUAAAGCGUGCGCAGGCGGUUAUAUAAGACAGAUGUGAAAUCCCCGGGCUCAACCUGGGACCUGCAUUUGUGACUGUAUAGCUAGAGUACGGUAGAGGGGGAUGGAAUUCCGCGUGUAGCAGUGAAAUGCGUA
rnacentral:rRNA from 1 species